CUCAGCUGUUGGAAGAUCAUCAGCACAAAGAAGAUCAUCCACAUAUUGGAGUAUGAGAUUGUUGCCAUGGAUCUAAGACAGUUGCCAUAGCCUUUGCAAAUUGACUUGGUGAAUUAUGUGCCCCUUGAAGCAUGACAGUCCAUGUAUAUUGUUGGCAGUCGUGGGUGAAUGCAAAUAGAUAUUGACAUGAAGCAUCCAAGGGUACACUGAAGAAGGCAUUUGCCAGAUCAACAACUGUGAAGAACUUUGCUGUAGGAGGAACUUUUGACAGGAGAGUAUGAACCAUUCUGUAUUUUUCUGGCUCACCUUUUUUUAUCUUCUUUUUCACCGGAAACAAAGGGGUGUUGCAAGGGGAUUCACACUUGACUAGAGCACCUUUUGCUAGCAGGCUCUCAACUUGUUUAGAGAUAGCAAGGGCCUGAGCAGGCCUCAGGGGUUCUGGUGUUUUAGGGGUGGAUUGGCACCUUGGGGCAGUUUCACAUGAACUGGGGGAACCUGGAGACGUCCGAUGUCUUCGGGGCCUGUGGACCACAGCUUAGCAGGAACUCUGUCCAGAGCACUGGGGGGGGGAUCAUCUAGGACCCUUACAUCCUUGUUAGGGGACUCCAUAUGGAGCAGAAGGGGUAUGGAGCAGAGGGCAGAGGUGUCUGAAGUAGACAAAGGAGAGGACAACUGGACUUGGCCAUCUGGGGUGAAGGAG